rnacentral:rRNA from 1 species
GACGAACCGUGCGAACGUUGUUCGGAAUCACUGGGCUUAAAGGGCGCGUAGGCGGGCCUUCAAGUCCGGGGUGAAAUCCUCCCGCUUAACGGGAGAAGAGCCUCGGAGACUGAGGGCCUCGAGGGAGGUACGGGGCGUGCGGAACUAUGGGUGGAGCGGUGAAAUGCGAUUGAUAUCCAUAGGAACUCCGGUGGCGAAGGCGGCACGCUGGACCUCUCUGACGCUGAGGCGCGAAAGCCAGGGAGCAAACGGG